AAAAAAGAGGAUUCGGUAAACGAGAGAGUGAACGCUUAAUGGGAUCCAGAGGUCUGACGAAACAUCAACGGAUCUUAUCUUCUCGAUUUAAUAUCGUUAUCCGAUAAAUUACUAAAGAAUGCAGCGAAUAAAAAUGCGCAUAUUAACUAUGCACCUAAAUGGAAAAACUCUCCGAGGAAGAAUAUUAUCCAAAUGACUUUAUCGAUAGAAUAUUUGAAUGAUUUUCGUAGGAUUGUAGAAUCACGACAGCUUAAUAAGCUUUCCCAUUCAUGAAAAUGGAGUAACGUAAGAGAUACAGAUAGACGUAACAGGAACAUAGAAGGGAAUACGAGAUGGUGUAUCGUUUAUCGAAAAGGAAUUGGUAUAUAUCAAGAGACUACCGUAAGGAGGAGAAGGAUUGAGAGCUGAAAUAGGACGGAUGGAUAAUGCGAGUUAGUUCGCUACCCUCUACCAAGAUGCUAGUCACACAUUUCUACCUAUCUCUGACUCUCCUCGUCUUUAUAAUUAUUAUGAUAGUUCGUGGAAAGCAAAUAAACUUUACGCGAAACAACUCGUAGUGACCAUUCCCAUUCAUUCAUUCAUUGAAUUCUUGGCAGUGGAUAGAGGAGAACUGUUUCUUGAGAAAAGAAAAUCUUACGCGAUUCACCGAGAAUCGUGAAAUGAAUUAGAUAUUCCGUUAGAGAGAGAGAGAGAGAAAUAGAGUGGAUUCUAUUCUAUAUCCAUCUUGGCGACGCAUAGUUAUCUCGGAACGAGUCUAACACGAAAUAAGAAUAAGAAGAGAUCGUUUUAAAUAAGAUAACUCGAGUCGUUUAUAAUUUUUGGCUCGUUCGAGGAAAUCGUCAUACUCGACGAUAUCUUUUUCCUUCCUUUUUAUCAAAAGGAAGGGAACUUAACGCGAUAUCAUCUACCGAAUUAUCUGGAAUUAUUCCAAAUCUACAAUUUUGACGAUUAAGCAAAUAUCUGUAUCACCUAGCCUCCGAUUCUGAGUUUAACGAUAAAUCAUCUUAGUUAUCGAAUAAAAACGUAUUUUUCAAAAGAAAAUAACUAACCAACGAAUAAUCUUAAUACACGACACAUAGACACAUACCGGGUGAUCGAUAAAAGUGCAUAAACAUUUUCACUCUCGUUGGGAUCUCUCGACGGAAAUAUUUCACCGAUACCCCAGAGUUCUCACGUUUCUCGAGAUUUCUCAGCGAUCUUUGUCGAAACGAAAAAAUUUGAAUACUUUUCCAAAGACUCGGCAUACACAUUGUUCGGUUUCCGUGUUCCGUCUUGAAUAGUAACGUUCACGGCAUGGAAAUAGAGUAGCAUUUUUAGAACUCUAAUCGCGACGCGUCCUCGUUCGAAAAAUACUUUGUCGAUCAACGGGCCGAAACUUUCAAUGUUUUCCAGAUUAAAAUCGAGAAAAAGGGGGAGGGGAGGGGAGGGGGAGAGUGGUCGUUUAAUUAAUUAAACAUCUUACGCGAAUUAAUCGUGAUAAGAACAAGAUGAUAUUCCGAUUUUCUCGUCGUAAUUAUAAGGUUUUCAAGAAGAAGAAGAGAGAGAGAGAAGGAUACCGAACAAAAGAUGGAAAUAAUUGGAAACGUCGGCGUCGAGGAGAAAGAA
rnacentral:lncRNA from 1 species